rnacentral:rRNA from 1 species
GCAUAUCAAUAAGCGGAGGAAAAGAAACCAACAGGGAUUACCUCAGUAACGGCGAGUGAAGCGGUAACAGCUCAAAUUUGAAAGCUAGCUCUUUUAGGGUUCGCAUUGUAAUUUGUAGAAGAUGCUUCGGGUGUGGCCCCGGUCUAAGUUCCUUGGAACAGGACGUCAUAGAGGGUGAGAAUCCCGUAUGUGACUGGGUGCUUUCGCUCAUGUGAAGCUCUUUCGACGAGUCGAGUUGUUUGGGAAUGCAGCUCAAAAUGGGUGGUAAAUUUCAUCUAAAGCUAAAUAUUGGCCAGAGACCGAUAGCGCACAAGUAGAGUGAUCGAAAGAUGAAAAGCACUUUGGAAAGAGAGUUAAACAGUACGUGAAAUUGUUGAAAGGGAAGCGCUUGCAACCAGACUUGCGCGCUGAUAAUCAUCCGGGCUUCUGCCCGGUGCACUCGUCUGCGCUCAGGCCAGCAUCGGUUUCGGUGGUGGGAUAAAGGCCUUGGGAAUGUGGCUCCUCUCGGGGAGUGUUAUAGCCCUCGGUGCAAUGCCGCCUACCGGGACCGAGGACCGCGCUUCGGCUAGGAUGCUGACGUAAUGGCUUAAACGAC